rnacentral:rRNA from 1 species
GAUGAACGCUGGCGGCGUGCCUAAUACAUGCAAGUCGAGCGAAUGGAUUGAGAGCUUGCUCUUAUGAAGUUAGCGGCGGACGGGUGAGUAACACGUGAGUAACCUGCCCAUAAGACUGGGAUAACUCCGGGAAACCGGGGCUAAUACCGGAUAAUAUUUUGAACCGCAUGGUUCGAAAUUGAAAGGCGGCUUCGGCUGUCACUUAUGGAUGGACCGGCGUCGCAUUAGCUAGUUGGGGAGGUAACGGCUCACCAAGGCAACGAUGCGUAGCCGACCUGAGAGGGUGAUCGGCCACACUGGGACUGAGACACGGCCCAGACUCCUACGGGAGGCAGCAGUAGGGAAUCUUCCGCAAUGGGCGAAAGUCUGACGGAGCAACGCCGCGUGAGUGAUGAAGGCUUUCGGGUCGUAAAACUCUGUUGUUAGGGAAGAACAAGUGCUAGUUGAAUAAGCUGGCACCUUGACGGUACCUAACCAGAAAGCCACGGCUAACUACGUGCCAGCCGCCGCCGUAA